rnacentral:rRNA from 1 species
AGCGAACGUUAGCGGCGCGCCUAACACAUGCAAGUCGCACGAGAAAGGGAGCAAUCCCCGGUACAGUGGCGCACGGGUGAGUAACACGUAGAUGACCUUCCCUGGAGUGGUGGAUAACCUGCCGAAAGGCGGGCUAAUACAGCAUGGGACCACAUGGUUUUUGACCGAGUGGUGAAAGCGGGCCUCUGUUCACAAGCUCGCGCUCUGGGAUGGGUCUGCGUCCCAUCAGCUAGUUGGUGAGGUAAUGGCUCACCAAGGCAUCGACGGGUAGCUGGUCUGAGAGGAUGACCAGCCACACUGGAACUGAGACACGGUCCAGACUCCUACGGGAGGCAGCAGUGGGGAAUCUUGCGCAAUGGGCGAAAGCCUGACGCAGCGACGCCGCGUGGGUGAUGAAGGCC